rnacentral:rRNA from 1 species
CCUACGGGGGGCUGCAGUGGGGAAUAUUGGGCAAUGGAGGCAACUCUGACCCAGCAACGCCGCGUGAAUGAUGACGGUCUUCGGAUUGUAAAGUUCUUUUCGCAGGGAAGCAGAAAGUGACGGUACCUUAGGAAUAAGCCUCGGCUAACUACGUGCAAGCAGCCGCGGGAAUACGUAGGAGGCAAGCGUUAUUCGGAAUGAAUGGGGGUAAAGGGUGCGUAGGUGGUUUGACAAGUUAGUAGCGAAAAUCCGGAGAUUAACUUCGGAACUACUGCUAAAACUGUUGGACUUGAGUGCAGGAGAAGCAAUCGGAAUUCCUAGUGUAGCGGUGAAAUGCGUAGAUAUUAGGAGGAACACCAGUUGCGAAGGCGGAUUGCUAGACUGUAACUGACGCUGAGGCACGAAAGCGUGGGGAGCGAACAGGAUUAGAUACCCCUGUAGUC